rnacentral:rRNA from 1 species
GACGAACGCUGGCGGCGUGCCUAAUACAUGCAAGUAGAACGCACAGUUUAUACCGUAGCUUGCUACACCAUAGACUGUGAGUUGCGAACGGGUGAGUAACGCGUAGGUAACCUGCCUGGUAGCGGGGGAUAACUAUUGGAAACGAUAGCUAAUACCGCAUAAUAUUAAUUAUUGCAUGAUAAUUAAUUGAAAGGUGCAAUUGCACCACUACCAGAUGGUCCUGCGUUGUAUUAGCUAGUAGGUGAGGUAACGGCUCACCUAGGCGACGAUACAUAGCCGACCUGAGAGGGUGGUCGGCCACACUGGGACUGAGACACGGCCCAGACUCCUACGGGAGGCAGCAGUAGGGAAUCUUCGGCAAUGGACGAAAGUCUGACCGAGCAACGCCGCGUGAGUGAAGAAGGUUUUCGGAUCGUAAAGCUCUGUUGUAAGAGAAGAACGGGUGUGAGAGUGGAAAGUUCACACUGUGACGGUAUCUUACCAGAAAGGGACGGCUAACUACGUG